GACGAACGCUGGCGGCGUGCUUAACACAUGCAAGUCGAACGGAAAGGCCCUGCUUUUGUGGGGUGCUCGAGCGGCGAACGGGUGAGUAACACGUGAGUAACCUGCCCUUGACUUUGGGAUAACUUCAGGAAACUGGGGCUAAUACCGGAUAGGAGCUCCUGCUGCAUGGUGGGGGUUGGAAAGUUUCGGCGGUUGGGGAUGGACUCGCGGCUUAUCAGCUUGUUGGUGGGGUAGUGGCUUACCAAGGCUUUGACGGGUAGCCGGCCUGGGAGGGUGACCGGCCACAUUGCGACUGAGAUACGGCCCAGACUCCUACGGGAGGCAGCAGUGGGGAAUAUUGCACAAUGGGCGGAAGCCUGAUGCAGCAACGCCGCGUGCGUGAUGACGGCCUUCGGGUUGUAAACCGCUUUCGCCUGUGACGAAGCGUGAGUGACGGUAAUGGGUAAAGAAGCACCGGCUAACUACGUG
rnacentral:rRNA from 1 species